AACGAACGCUGGCGGCAUGCCUAACACAUGCAAGUCGAACGAGACCUUCGGGUCUAGUGGCGCACGGGUGCGUAACGCGUGGGAACCUGCCCUUAGGUUCGGAAUAACUCCCCGAAAGGGGUGCUAAUACCGGAUAAUGUCUUCGGACCAAAGAUUUAUCGCCUUUGGAUGGGCCCGCGUUGGAUUAGCUAGUUGGUAGGGUAAAAGCCUACCAAGGCGACAAUCCAUAGCUGGUCUGAGAGGAUGAUCAGCCACACUGGGACUGAGACACGGCCCAGACUCCUACGGGAAGCAGCAGUGGGGAAUAUUGGACAAUGGGCGAAAGCCUGAUCCAGCAAUGCCGCGUGAGUGAUGAAGGCCUUAGGGUUGUAAAGCUCUUUUACCCGGGAUGAUAAUGACAGUACCGGGAGAAUAAGCUCCGGCUAACUCCGUG
rnacentral:rRNA from 1 species